rnacentral:lncRNA from 1 species
GCCAAAAGGCUAGAGUGGGGCCUUUCGGUCUAUUAAAGUGAGAUACUAUUAUAUUAAAUUAUAUACUAAAUUAAAGUAAGAAACCAGAAACUUGAGAAACUUUAAAGUGGUCUUAGGCCACCCGUCACAAGUAACUUGAUUGCCUGGGACUGACCUUUAUUGGUUGAGGGAUGGACAGCUAGCAAGAGAGGGGCUACACAGAAAUGAAUUUGAAACUCCAGACUAUAUGUGGAAGGAAGUUAGAUCAGAAGUGAGCUGAAAGUCUGUGAAUGAAAAAAGGCCCUAGUGUGAUCAAGAUGGUUGUUGGGUAGUUGGAAAUUGGAAUAAUAGAACCUGUAAUCAGAGAGUGGAUUUUGAAACAUUAAGAUUGCAAAACCAGAGUGGUCAAGGUAACUUGUGAAGUGAGGUUGUCAGAUGGUCAGUUACAUAAAUACUGAAGUGACCCGGGACUAUAGCAAAAGCCAAGCUGGGAAUGAACUCUGGAGGCCAGGUGUAACAGGCCUUGAUGCCUGAGGAGUGAUUUAGAGGUUGGCACAUGGCAACUGUGCAGGUGUAAGAGAAGAAACGAUGUAGUGGGAUAGUUGCAUGAGCCACGGAGGAGCGGUAGGGAUCAUUAGAAGUUACCAAAACCAUGAUCUGCACAUUGCUCCGAGGUGUUGGCUUGCAGAAUGCCUAGCUAAAGUGAUCCCCUCCUCUAUCGGGUGCUUGCUCUAUACCCAGCACCUUGCUGUGUGCUAACCAUUUACCCCGUCUGGGUCUGUCACAUAUCAGGUAUGAGAAAAUGAGCAGCAUUCCCGAGCAAGGACAGCUAGGGGAGCUGCUGGCCCUUUGAAUUGACAGAAUGCUGUGGCCGUGUCUACAGACUGGUCAGCUUGAAGUGGCAUCAAAAGAUUUCUUUUCGACCCAAAUUUUUCCUUGACCUUGACCUAACUUUAUCCACGUGGUACAAGUUUGUGUUGGCUGUUCCAUAAUGUACUUUGACUUCUGAGUCUCUGACUUGAGGAGUAUGCUAGAACUGUCCUUUAAAAAACAACAGGCACAGCACAUUAAAAGCACAGAUUAAUUAACUAGAACAAGGGGCCCUGUUACAUAAUUGAGCUUUUAAGAUAAAGGAUAGACAAAAGAAAGCUCCCAUCAGUGUGUAACAACAGCACUUUGUGACAGCCACUCUAAGGUCAGGAUACAUCUAGUUUAGUGGCCAUAUUGUACAUAUUCCCUGUUGUUGUUGGGAAGAAGGGCUGGAAAUUGAUGCAGAGAGAUGUCCCUUAGGACUUGGAAUGUAAAGUUUAGGAGAAGAGAAUCUCCAUGAAUCCUGUGACACUGCAUGUCAUCAUUUUUCCUCUGUUAUAGUCUUUGAAUGAGUCAAUAUUUCAAUGAAGGGGUAGAGCCCUUGAGACAGAGUUCCCAGGCCCUUAGACCGUACGUACAUCCCCUCCUUUGGGGCCGCUUUAUAUUUAUUCCUCAGGAGGAUCUGGUAGAAGACUUCGUGUGAGGAAGAAGAAAAAGAAAGAAGCAGAGAAUCACUACAGCCUGUCUUCAUAUCAGCUUCACAAAGCACCACUCAACAGAGGGCUUACUCUCUUGAGACUCCAGACCACAGGUUGCUCUUUUCAAUUGCACGUUUGGCCCUCUCAGCUACUUCCUACAUUCAGAAAUUGUACUGUAUGUGCAUGUAUGAACUAUCAUUUCCCAUAAAGACUACUCCGUGUUCACAGCAAAAAAAAAAAAAAUCCCUAAAAUAAGGUAUAAUGCUUGUUCUGUUAGGUUUCCAAUAGUCACAAAUUGCUGGAUCUCCACUGCUGUAAUACAGGCCACCAGAGAUGAGUUUGGGUUUCGGAAACAAAGGACCCCAGCUUCCUGGAAGGAAGGCAGUCGGUUGACUUGAAAGUAACCCCUAUCCCUGCAUUCUUAUUAUUUCUUUUUCCUUCAGCCCCUUGACUAAGAUACCACUGAUGAAAGCAAAAAAGCCAUACUUUCCCCUUCUGCUGGCACUUUUCUGGCCUACGUAUAUGCCUUUAGGAGUCACUCUCUCUUUAUCAGCACUUCCUUCUUCCCAUCUCUUAAGACCCAGAGAGUCAUGAAUGCUAGAGUUGGGGUUGAACUUGUCACACCUACCUCCUGCAGUUGGGGAAUACUAAUGUUAAUCAGCCUGAUACCCACUUCCACCUGAUAAUCAUGGCAGCCACUGGAGAAGCUGUAGCUAAGGCCAGCAACCGUAUGGACCCCAGCCCCAAGACUCACUCCUGAUGUCUCAACUGAUUGUGAAAAACUAGUAGGAGGGCUUGCCCCACCCCAGCCCCCUUCUGAGUUGGUCAUCAGAUAUCAGGACUUGUCUUAGGGCCUAUGUUACAUAAGGACAGAUAUCUCAUAAACAGUAUCAGGAGUCCUGGUUACCUUUUAUCUCUCUUGGGGAUGGGCAGGAUAGGGCAUAAGGAUAAGUGGUAAGUCUUGUGCCUUUCAAAUAUAUUCCUAGUGAUUCCUCAGGACACCCUUGGUCACACCAUCUGGUGCCUAAUCCUGGGUCUCGCCUCUUCAAAGCUUUCCUAGUGUGUUCCUUGCUCUCACUAACCACCUUUUAUUUCCUGCCCCAUCCUGAUGGAUUUCAGCAGGUGUUUUUUCUUUUCCCUUCCUCAGGCCGUCUGUAACAGCCUUUCAUCUGGGAGGAGCCUUGUGAAUGAGUGAAUGAAACCUCAGUGAGUGUUUACAAUGACACCCAUGUUUUUCUAUGGAUAUAAGGAGAAAGAAGGCUAUGAAAUGCCAUCAUGGAGUAACAAAAAUUUGACAUUUUAGUGGAUAUUGGACCUAGAAGCCUACAUGAAUGAAGGAAGCAAACCUGAGAUUCUGAUGUUUGUGAGUGAAGAUAGGAGUGAACUCCUUACUGCUAUUAGUAAUGGAAGAAGAGAGGGGAGAAAAGUGAGGGAGGUCAUACAGUCCUUCACUUCAGUGGAGGGAGUGCUGAGACUUGCUUCAUAAACCAGUAACUUAUUAAGGUGGAUUGGAGAGGAAUUGUUGCACUGCACUAUUUCUUUUGCUGUUUGUGUUAAGUCACUGCCAGGCACUGUCCUCAGGUAGAGCUGCCUUUGUGGAGGUUUCUGUUGACCCCUAAUGAGAAACAACCCAGAACAAGGUUUGCGACUUAGAACUCUCUGGUUCAGUGACAGAGUUUUAAAGAGGUUGAGGACAGAGGAAAUAGCACAAGUAGUACCAGAUAGCCUAGUUUUUCUUAUUGGAUGGGCGAGGUAGAGGUAGAGGGCACAAUGAUUCUAGGCAACUCCAAACCCCUGGUAAGGCAUUAGGAAACAAUAUAAUGAAAGGUUAGCCCUUAGACCUAUUGAUUUGUCAUUCCCCAGAGCGUGAUAGAUUAUCUAAAAGAACAAGGAGAGCUGCUUUGGAGAAAAGUUCUAAAAGAUUCUUUCAGAGAACAGAUUUAAAAGAUGGGGAGCUUCCUGUUAUGUAAUAUGGGCAUUACAGCUUUUAAAGACUUCUGUUCCAAAUAGCCAAAUUAUGGAAAGAGCCUAAAUGUCCAUCAGCUGAUGAAUGGAGAAAGAGAUUGUGGUUUAUAUAUACAAUGGAAUACUACCUGGCAAUGAGAAAGAAUGAAAUAAUGGCCUUUUGUAGCAACGUGGGUGGAACUGAAGAGUGUUAUGUUAAGUGAAGUAAGUCACACAGAGAAAGACAGAUACCAUAUGUUUUCACUCUUAUGUGGAUAUGGAGAAACUUAACAGAAGACCAUGGGGGAGGGGAGGAAAAAAAAAAGGAGGGAGCCAAACCAUAAGAGACUCUUAAAAACAGAAUAAACUGAGGGUUAAUGGGGGGGCGGUGGGAGGGAGAGGAAAGUGGGUGAUGGGCAUUGAGGAGGGCACCUGUUGGGAUGAGCACUGGGUAUUGUAUGGAAACCAAUUUGACAAUAAAUUUCAUAUAAAAAAAAAUAAAGACUUCUGUUCCCUACCUAGAUCAUGGAAGUUGACACUAGUAUCAGCCUGUGGCUGCAUAGGCCAGUAUUAACAUAGAAGUAUCGUGCUGUUGGAGAGAUCCUGCCACUCUCUUGCUUUGACAGGUGUUCAGCUGCAAUACAAGUCCAGUGUUUGAAGAAGCAAAGAGGGCAACAAGCCUUCAGGGGACAACAGUGUGGUCUUCUAAGUGAAGAUAGCAACAGAAGAGAUCACGGACUUGGCUGGAUUGGGCUGGGCUUGUUUGUUUGUUCAAAAUUUUAAAAAUACUUUUUUUCUUGACCAUAAAAGUAACAUGAUCAUUGUUGAAAAAUGAAACGAAAGGUAUAAAUUAAAAAGUAAAGAACACCUAUAAUAUUAUAACCAAGAAAACAACUCAGCAU